rnacentral:rRNA from 1 species
GUUGAACGCUGGCGGCAUGCCUAAUACAUGCAAGUCGAGCGAAUAGACGAGGCUCUUGCUUCUAUUAAGCUACCGACGGGCGGGUGAUUACUACGUAUAUAACCUACCUAUAGGACUGGGGUACCGUCGGGAGACCGGAGAUCACACACGUUCAUAUAUUGAACGGCAGGGUUCUUCAGUGAAAACCCGUUCUGCUGUCCCUAAUAGAGAUUUCCGCGCCGAAUUAGUAAGUUGGUAAGGUAACGGCUUACCAAGGCAACGAUGCGUAGCCGACCUGAGAGGGUGAUCGGCCACACUGGAACUGAGACACGGUCCAGACUCCUACGGGAGGCAGCAGUAGGGAAUAUUCCGCAAUGGGCGAAAGCUUGACGGAGCAAUGCCGCGUGAGUGAUGAAGGUCUUCGGAUUGUAAAACACUGUUAUUAGGGAAGAAGAGAUGUGAGUGUAAAUCUGCACGUCUUGACGGUACCAAAUGAGAAAGCCACGGCUAACUACGUG